AGAGUUUGAUCAUGGCUCAGGACGAACGCUGGCGGCGUGCUUAACACAUGCAAGUGGAGCGACGAACCGGGCUUCGGCCCGGGGCAAAGCCGCGAACGGGUGAGUAUCACGUGGGUAACCUGCCCCGAUGACCGGGACAACCCGAGGAAACUCGGGCUAAUACCGGAUGUGCUCUCCCCACAUCAGUGGGGCGAGUAAAGGAAGCUUCGGCCUCCGCAUUGGGAUGGGCCCGCGGCCCAUUAGCUUGUUGGUGAGGUAACGGCUCACCAAGGCUGCGAUGGGUAGCUGGUCUGAGAGGACGAUCAGCCACACUGGGACUGAGACACGGCCCAGACUCCUACGGGAGGCAGCAGUGGGGAAUCUUGCGCAAUGCGCGAAAGCGUGACGCAGCAACGCCGCGUGAGGGAAGAAGGCCUUCGGGUUGUAAACCUCUUUCAGGAGGGACGAAGGUUCAGGCGCGAAUAGCGUCCUGGACUGACGGUACCUCCAGAAGAAGCCCCGGCUAACUACGUGCCAGCAGCCGCGGUAAUACGUAGGGGGCUAGCGUUGUCCGGAAUCAUUGGGCGUAAAGCGCGCGUAGGCGGCCCGGUAAGUCCGCUGUGAAAGUCAAAGGCUCAACCUUUGAAUGUCAGCGGAUACUGCCGGGCUAGAGUCCGGAAGAGGCGAGUGGAACUCCUGGUGUAGCGGUGGAAUGCGCAGAUAUCAGGAAGAACACCAACGGCGAAGGCAGCUCGCUGGGACGGAACUGACGCUAAGGCGCGAAAGCGUGGGGAGCGAACAGGAUUAGAUACCCUAGUAGUCC
rnacentral:rRNA from 1 species